GGGCGGGGCCGGAGGACCACGGGGGCUUGGGUGGCACUGGCCGGCCGGCGGGCAGCGCAGCCCUGAGAAACCGCCGUGCUCGGACGCCGCUGCGGGCUUUGGGGCCGGCUGAGCCGGGGGCUGGGUGCUGGGUGCACUGGACCCCUGCUCCAACCGGGGGUCUUCCCGGGGCCUGCCAAGCGGCGGCAUUGUCCUGCGGGGGUCGCUGCCCCAAAGGCAGGUGGCACUUGAGAGCAUGGCAGCACCGUGUUGGGUUUUGGGAAAACCGGCUGCUGUUGCAUUUUGUAUGAAGCCUGACCUGGCAGAGGUGUUCAGAGCCUCCCCGCAGGAUAGGAACGAGGAGCACCAGCAGAUGAGGCAGGAAGCCGCAGGGGACAGAGAAGCAGUUUUGGCAGAGGAAGGGGUUCAAGUUAGCAGGAUCUGAGGGAAAGAAGAAAAAGCCCAUCAGUAUUUCUUCACUACCAUGAAAUGUCAUUUCUGUGCCAAUCAAGAUGCUGUCCUAGGGGCACAGGACCAGGAGAGGGGGAAGCCGUGUUCACAGGAAACCCCAGGCCAAAGUAAAAAGAAAAGAAAACAACAACAUACCUGUUGUAGAGGCCGGGAGGAGCGAGGAAACGUGCAGUGGGAAACUGCCCACGCAGUUUGUCAGCCGCGCCCUUAUCCAGCUGUGACCAGGUGACAUCACAAGGAGACGCCACCCGGCGGAGAUAAAAAGUGGCUCCAAAGGCGCUGGGUGGACGCCAAGGAGUGGAGGACUGGUGGGGAACCACCGGGCAGAAGGCAUCCAGCCACUGCAGCUGGCAGUGGCAGCAGCUGCUGCAGCGGUGGAGGCAACAGGAGCUGCAAAGGAUCCCCGAGCCGGGGAAGACAGGUGGGGAUUGAGGACGCCGGCAGGGAGGCCGGCAACGGUAGCGGCUGCAGCAAGAGCUGUGGGGAACCCUGAGCCGGAGAAGCCCAGCAGGGAUCGAAGGAGCCAGCGGAGAGACCCGCAGUGACCACUGGGAGAGCCGGUGUGAGAGCCCUAAUCAGAGGCAAUGGGGGCUGCAGCUCCCGGUCAGAGACGGAGCUUGGAGGAGGAGAGGCAGACCCCGGCUGGGGUGAAAGCACGGGUCUCGACCCAAAGGGCUCCCUAGCCUAGGGGCGUUGGGGGCUAAGGGUGUAUGGAGCUCUCACUGUGGGUGCUCCGUUUCCUUUAGCACUCUCCCUCCCUUCUUUCUUUUCUGUCACACCUCUCUGGUGGUCACGGUGUUGGUUUUGUUCAUUUUUGUUUCACGUCGGGUGUUUUAGGGCAAAGGGGUUUAGGAUCAAGACAUUGAUAGUGUUCCCUUUUAGGGCUCGUCUAUCUUGGUCCCCUUUUGAGGGUAGAUUAGUGGAGUCCUUAGCACCAGGCGAGGGUGGCUAGGACCCCAUCAAAGGGGUAGAGAGGAGCCACGCAAGAACGCACUGGCGGCUACUGCCAGCAGACACAGAGGGCUAAGGGCACUGGAGAAGACAAGCCCAAAAGCUGAGGGUCUCCAGACCCUCCCACCGAGGUUCAGCCAGGGCCCUGGGUGGUCAUCGUCGAGAGGCAACGCAGAGACCAGGGAAGACACCAGUAGGGGGAUAGCCGCAAAAAGACUCAGAGGCCCGUCUCUAAGGGUGGCACAUUGGGUGUAGGGGAGGUUGGAGCCCCGUGAACGCCCGCCAAGAUGCGUGAGGACUCGAGGCACCCUCAAAGGGGACCCCCCCCCACACUAAAGAACCACUCAGAGUCGUGGCAGGUGAGUUAGGAGGUCACCCUGAAGACAGCCGAGGUGCCCUCUGCGGUCUGCACGUAGGUCCCUGGCAAGCAAGAUCAGCUGCUCGGGCAAAGGUGGCGCGGAAGCGUACAAUAGAGCGGAGGCGGGCACAGAUGCCAAUCAAACCUUGUAAAUUACCCAGUGCCAAACAAACUAUUUUGGUAUCCUUUCUUGAUAAACUACAAACAUUUCACAGCAUUCUUUCAGGCUGUAGACUGUUGAAUCAAUCCAUAAUUCUGCUACUAAAUAUUUUUUUCUAUGGCACUACUUGGCAUUCUAUAAAGUUGUUUCUACAUUGUCUUAUC